AAAGAAACCAACAGGGAUUGCCUCAGUAACGGCGAGUGAAGCGGCAAGAGCUCAAAUUUGAAAGCUGGCUCCUUCGGGGUCCGCAUUGUAAUUUGCAGAGGAUGCUUCGGGCAUGGCCCCCGUCUAAGUGCCCUGGAAGGGGCCGUCAUAGAGGGUGAGAAUCCCGUCUGGGACGGGGUGUCCGUGUCCAUGUGAAGCUCCUUCGACGAGUCGAGUUGUUUGGGAAUGCAGCUCUAAAUGGGUGGUAAAUUUCAUCUAAAGCUAAAUACUGGCCGGAGACCGAUAGCGCACAAGUAGAGUGAUCGAAAGAUGAAAAGCACUUUGAAAAGAGAGUUAAACAGCACGUGAAAUUGUUGAAAGGGAAGCGUUUGCGACCAGACUCGCCCGCGGGGUUCAGCCGGCAUUCGUGCCGGUGUACUUCCCCGUGGGCGGGCCAGCGUCGGUUUGGGCGGCCGGUCAAAGGCCUCCGGAAUGUAUCACCUCUCGGGGUGUCUUAUAGCCGGGGGUGCAAUGCGGCCUGCCUGGACCGAGGAACGCGCUUCGGCUCGGACGCUGGCGUAAUGGUCGUAAAUGACCCUCU
rnacentral:rRNA from 1 species